rnacentral:rRNA from 1 species
CUGCCUUACCAUGCAGUCGAACGGCAGCACGGGAGCAAUCCUGGUGGCGAGUGGCGAACGGGUGAGUAAUAUAUCGGAACGUGCCCAGUCGUGGGGGAUAACGUAGAGAAAUUUACGCUAAUACCGCAUACGAUCUAAGGAUGAAAGCGGGGGACUCUGCAAAGAGCCUCGCGCGAUUGGAGCGGCUGAUAUCAGAUUAGGUUGUUGGUGAGGUAAAAGCUCACCAAGCCGACGAUCUGUAGCUGGUUUGAGAGAACGACCAGCCACACUGGGACUGAGACACGGCCCAGACUCCUACGGGAGGCAGCAGUGGGGAAUUUUGGACAAUGGGCGAAAGCCUGAUCCAGCAAUGCCGCGUGCAGGAAGAAGGCCUUCGGGUUGUAAACUGCUUUUGUACGGAACGAAAAGGUCUGCCCUAAUACGGCGGGCCCAUGACGGUACCGUAAGAAUAAGCACCGGCUAACUACGUGCCAGCAGCCGCGGUAAUACGUAGGGUGCGAGCGUUAAUCGGAAUUACUGGGCGUAAAGCGUGCGCAGGCGGUUAUGUAAGACAGUUGUGAAAUCCCCGGGCUCAACCUGGGAAUUGCAUCUGUGACUGCAUAGCUAGAGUACGGUAGAGGGGGAUGGAAUUCCGCGUGUAGCAGUGAAAUGCGUAGAUAUGCGGAGGAACACCGAUGGCGAAAGCAAUCCCCUGGACCUGUACUGACGCUCAUGCACGAAAGCGUGGGGAGCAAACAGGAUUAGAUACCCUGGUAGUCCACGCCCUAAACGAUGUCAACUGGUUGUUGGGUGCAUUAGUACUCAGUAACGAAGCUAACGCGUGAAGUGACCGCCUGGGGAGUACGGCCGCAAGGUGAAACUCAAAGGAAUGACGGGGACCCGCACAAGCGGUGGAUGAUG